rnacentral:rRNA from 1 species
GAUGAACGCUGGCGGCGUGCCUAAUACAUGCAAGUCGAGCGAACAGACGAUGAGCUUGCUCCUCUGACGUUAGCGGCGGACGGGUGAGUAACACGUGGAUAACCUACCUAUAAUACUGGGAUAACUUCGGGAAACCGGAGCUAAUACCAGAUAAUAUAUUGAACCGCAUGGUUCAAUAGUGAAAGACGGUUUUGCUGUCACUUAUAGAUGGAUCCGCGCCGCAUUAGCUAGUUGGUAAGGUAACGGCUUAACAAGGCAACGAUGCGUAGCCGACCUGAGAGGGUGAUCGGCCACAAUGGAACUGAGACACGGUCCAGACUCCUAAGGGAGGCAGCAGUAGGGAAUCUUCCGCAAUGGGCGAAAGCCUGACGGAGCAACGCCGCGUGAGUGAUGAAGGUCUUCGGAGUGUAAAACCCUGUUAUUAGGGAAGAACAAAUGUGUAAGUAACUAUGCACGUCUUGAAGGUAACUAAUAAGAAAGGCACGGCUAACUACGUG